rnacentral:rRNA from 1 species
AGGAAGUUUUGGUGGGGAAGCAAGGAAUGAAAACAAAAGCCACAUUGGGUCUCCUGGCAUACAAUGACGCAACCAAAGGGAAUGAGGGGACUUGGUUUCAAGGACUUCAAAUUGUUCACCCUUGCCAUGCUAGCCAGGCAAGCGUGGCGUCUAUUACAGUAUCUCGAGACCUUAAGUGAAAGAAUUUUGAGAAGCAUUUAUCACCCAAAUUUUGACAUUCUUCAAGCAAGCCUCAGAGGGAACCCUAGCCAAGUCUGGAGAGCCUUGGUGGAAGGUAGAGACACCUUAAAGCAAGGACAAAUCCGUCAUGUGGGUAAUGGGGAGACAACACACAUAUGGAGCGACAAUUGGUUGCCACGGGACAAGAUGAUGCGCCCGUAUGGUUGUUUGAGUUCGAACCCGCCUUCUAGAAUGUCAGAGCUAAUUGAUCACACUUCAGCUUCAAGGGACAAAGCUAGCACUACAAAAAAAUACACUUCUGUGAUGAUACGUGUUUGUCACAGUAGGUCGCAUUUUUUGUCAUGCAUGUACAUCCAUGACAAUUUAUGA